UUUACUCAAAUUUGUAUAGAGUUGGAACGUUUGCCGCUGGGGCGCUCUUCCAAUUGCAUACAAAUUUGAGUUA
rnacentral:pre_miRNA from 1 species